CUACGGGAGGCAGCAGUGAGGAAUAUUGCACAAUGGACGAAAGUCUGAUGCAGCGACGCCGCGUGGGCGAAGAAGGUUUUCGGAUCGUAAAGCCCUUUUCUAGGUGACGAGAAAGGACGGUAGCCUAGGAAUAAGUGUCGGCUAACUACGUGCCAGCAGCCGCGGUAAAACGUAGGACGCAAACGUUAUCCGGAGUUACUGGGCGUAAAGCGCGAGCAGGCGGUUGGAUAAGUUACCUAUGAAAGCUCCCGGCUCAACUGGGAGAGGACGGUCGAAACUGGCAAACUAGAGUCCGACAGAGGUCGGCGGAAUUCCCGGUGUAGUGGUGGAAUGCGUAGAUAUCGGGAGGAACGCCAAAAGCGAAAGCAGCCGGCUGGGUCGAGACUGACACUGAGGGACGAAAGCGUGGGUAGCGAACAGGAUUAGAAACCCUUGUAGUCC
rnacentral:rRNA from 1 species